rnacentral:lncRNA from 1 species
AAUUUACCUCUUCAGUCGUGUACCUAAAUUUUCGAUAUUAGUUUUAAAAUAUCAUUGGUUUUCUGUGCUGUGAUAAAAGAGGGGCGAAAGAUACCAGAGGGACAGUCAAGCUCAUAAAUCGAAAAUAAACUGACAACGCCAUGGCUAAAAAUGAAAAGGACAUACAGACAAACAAUAGUACACACGACACAACAUAGAAAACUAAAAACAACACGAACCUCACCAAAAACUAUGGGUGAUCUAUGUUGUUAGAAAAUC